AAAGCGAGUCUGAAUAGGGCGCAUAAGUAACAGGUCGUAGACCCGAAACCAGGUGAUCUACCCAUGUCCAGGAUGAAGGUAAGGUAAUACUUACUGGAGGUCCGAACCCACGCACGUUGAAAAGUGCGGGGAUGAGGUGUGGGUAGCGGAGAAAUUCCAAUCGAACUUGGAGAUAGCUGGUUCUCUCCGAAAUAGCUUUAGGGCUAGCCUCGAGGUAAAGAGUCAUGGAGGUAGAGCACUGUUUGGACUAGGGGCCCUUCUCGGGUUACCGAAUUCAGAUAAACUCCGAAUGCCAUGUACUUAUACUCGGGAGUCAGACUGCGAGUGAUAAGAUCCGUAGUCGAAAGGGAAACAGCCCAGACCACCAGUUAAGGUCCCCAAAUAUAUGUUAAGUGGAAAAGGAUGUGGGGUUGCUUAGACAACCAGGAUGUUGGCUUAGAAGCAGCCACCAUUGAAAGAGUGCGUAAUAGCUCACUGGUCGAGUGACCCCGCGCCGAAAAUGUACCGGGGCUAAACAUAUUACCGAAACUGUGGAUGAACCUCUUUAGAGGUUCGUGGUAGGAGAGCGUUCUAAGGGCGGUGAAGUCAGACCGGAAGGACUGGUGGAGCGCUUAGAAGUGAGAAUGCCGGUAUGAGUAGCGAAAGAAGGGUGAGAAUCCCUUCCACCGAAUAUCUAAGGUUUCCUGAGGAAGGCUCGUCCGCUCAGGGUUAGUCGGGACCUAAGCCGAGGCCGAUAGGCGUAGGCGAUGGACAACAGGUAGAGAUUCCUGUACCAGUGCUAAUUGUUUAACCGAUGGGGUGACACAGAAGGAUAGGGAAUCGCACGAAUGGAAAUGUGCGUCCAAGCAGUGAGUGUGAGAAGUAGGCAAAUCCGCUUCUCGCGAAGCAUGAGCUGUGAUGGGGAAGGAAAUUAAGUACGGAAGUUCCUGAUUUCACGCUGUCAAGAAAAGCCUCUAGGAAGAGUAGUACUGCCCGUACCGCAAACCGACACAGGUAGAUGAGGAGAGAAUCCUAAGGUGAGCGAGAGAACUCUCGUUAAGGAACUCGGCAAAAUGACCCCGUAACUUCGGGAGAAGGGGUGCUCUAUUAGGGUGCAAGCCCGAGAGAGCCGCAGUGAAUAGGCCCAGGCGACUGUUUAGCAAAAACACAGGUCUCUGCAAAACCGUAAGGUGACGUAUAGGGGCUGACGCCUGCCCGGUGCUGGAAGGUUAAGAGGAGUGCUUAGCUUCGGCGAAGGUACGAAUUGAAGCCCCAGUAAACGGCGGCCGUAACUAUAACGGUCCUAAGGUAGCGAAAUUCCUUGUCGGGUAAGUUCCGACCCGCACGAAAGGCGCAACGAUCUGGGCACUGUCUCAACGAGAGACUCGGUGAAAUUAUAGUACCUGUGAAGAUGCAGGUUACCCGCGACAGGACGGAAAGACCCCGUGGAGCUUUACUGCAACCUGAUAUGGAAUGUUUGUACCGCUUGUACAGGAUAGGUAGGAGCCGAAGAGACGUGUGCGCUAGCAUACGAGGAGGCAAUGGUGGGAUACUACCCUGGCUGUAUGACCAUUCUAACCCGCCACGCUUAGCGCGUGGGGAGACAGUGUCAGGUGGGCAGUUUGACUGGGGCGGUCGCCUCCUAAAGAGUAACGGAGGCGCCCAAAGGUUCCCUCAGAAUGGAUGGAAAUCAUUCGCAGAGUGUAAAGGCACAAGGGAGCUUGACUGCGAGACUGACAAGUCGAGCAGGGACGAAAGUCGGGCUUAGUGAUCCGGUGGUUCCGCAUGGAAGGGCCAUCGCUCAACGGAUAAAAGCUACCCCGGGGAUAACAGGCUUAUCUCCCCCAAGAGUCCACAUCGACGGGGAGGUUUGGCACCUCGAUGUCGGCUCGUCGCAUCCUGGGGCUGUAGUCGGUCCCAAGGGUUGGGCUGUUCGCCCAUUAAAGCGGCACGCGAGCUGGGUUCAGAACGUCGUGAGACAGUUCGGUCCCUAUCCGUCGCGGGCGCAGGAAAUUUGAGAGGAGCUGUCCUUAGUACGAGAGGACCGGGAUGGACACACCGCUGGUGUACCAGUUGUUCCGCCAGGAGCAUCGCUGGGUAGCUAUGUGUGGCAGGGAUAAACGCUGAAAGCAUCUAAGCGUGAAGCCCCCCUCAAGAUGAGAUUUCCCAUUUCUUCGGAAAGUAAGAUCCCUGAAAGAUGAUCAGGUAGAUAGGUUUGGAGUGGAAGUGUAGCGAUACAUGGAGCGGACAAAUACUAAUCGAUCGAGGACUUAACCAAAA
rnacentral:rRNA from 1 species